rnacentral:lncRNA from 1 species
GUUAAAGAUUUGUAUCCAGUAUACAUAAAGAACUCUUAAACUUGGAUAUAAAAGCAUAAAUAACCCAAUUAAAAAUGGGCAAAGGUUUUAAGUUGAUAAUUUCCCAAAGACAUACAAAUGCCCAAUAAACACAUGAAUAGAUAUGGAACAUCACUAGCCAUUAGGGGUCAUGGCUCGGGAUGUAGCUCAGUGUAGAGCACUUGCCUUGCGUUCCAUUCCCAGCACCACAAAAACAAACAAACCAAAACAAAAUAAAAUGAGAUAUCACUUUAUAUCCUCUAGAAAUGGAUAGAAUAAAAAAAAUGAGACAAUAACAAGUGUUGCCAAGGAUUGGAACACUUUAAAAUUUUUUUUUUUGUAGUUGCAGAUGGACAGAAUGCCUUUAUUUGUUAUCUGAUGCUGAGGCUCAAACCUGCCACUGAGUCACAACCCCAGCCCUUUAACACUUUUACAUUGUUGAUGGGAUGUAAAGCAGUGCAGCCUUUUUGGAAAACAGUGUGGCAGUUUUUUUCAGAAUGCUAAUCAUACAGUUGCCAUGUGAUCUAGGAAUUCCACUCUUUGGUAUCUAUCUGAGAGAAAGGAAAACACACACUCAACAAAAACUUGUACACAGAUAUUCACAGCAGCAUUAUUCAUAGUUGCCAAAAAGUAGAAACCACACAAAUUCCCAUUAACUGAUGAAUAGAUAAACAGAAUGUGGUGUGUGCAUACAAUAGAAUAUUAAUUAGUGCUAUAAAGGAAUGAUGGCCAGGCAUGGAGGUGCAAACCUGGAAUACCAGCAACUCAGGAGGCUGAGGCAGGAGGAAGUUCAAGGCCAGCCUUGGCAACAUAGUGAGACCCUGUCUCAAAAUAAAAUAAAGGGUUGGGGAUGUAGCUGAGUGAUACAGCACUUGUCUAGCAUGCAUGAGAUACUUAGUCCCCAGUACCACACACACAUGAACAAGGAAUGAUAUAUAAGCAUGGAUGAUCUUUGAAACAUGUUAACUGA